rnacentral:lncRNA from 1 species
UUAUGAUUGGUUUGCUUCUGUCAAAAAGAUGGUUAAGCGUUUGAUGAAAUUGCUUCUGCCAAAUGGUGGUUAAGCAUCAGUAUUACUUCACGUUUAGAUUUCAAGACUGGGAGAUGAAGAUUCUCUCACCAGCAAGAGGAGGUAUUAGAAUAUGUGUGGUGUUCAUCACAAUUAUAUCAAGUUUGGAUUGCUUGACACAUUCCAGCUAGAGGGGGG